GAAGAAGCCAACACGAUGCGUGCCAUAGUGUUGAAGUGCAAAUAGACAAACCAAGAUAAAGCAUGUGAUUGGAACCACUGCAUCUGCACAAAGCUUGUCCUGAUGUUAUUUGACCAAGUCCAUGAACAGUUUGUCCUAAUGUUAUUUGACCAAGUCCAACAUUCCUACAAAAUCUACAAAUAGUCAGAGUAGGAGGACACUAAGCUUAAACUCGUUUUCUCAAAAAGGUGCUUACACUGAUGGUGAGCCUUGGUCAUGGAUAAUUCAAGUCCAGAAACAGCUGAGAAAACUGGACAAAACAAAAA